AUUGAACGCUGGCGGCAGGCCUAACACAUGCAAGUCGAACGGCAGCGGGGGAUAGCUUGCUAUCCUGCCGGCGAGUGGCGGACGGGUGAGUAAUGCAUGGGGAGCUGCCCAGUCGAGGGGGAUAACAACUGGAAACGGUUGCUAAUACCGCAUACGCCCUACGGGGGAAAGGUGGGGAACUUCGGUCCUACCGCGAUUGGAUGCGCCCAUGUGGGGUUAGCUAGUUGGUGAGGUAACGGCUCACCAAGGCGACGAUCUCUAGCUGGUCUGAGAGGAUGACCAGCCACACUGGAAGUGAGACACGGUCCAGACUCCUACGGGAGGCAGCAGUGGGGAAUAUUGCAGAAUGGGGGAAACCCUGAUGCAGCCAUGCCGCGUGUGUGAAGAAGGCAUUCGGGUUGUAAAGCACUUUCAGUCAGGAGGAAGGGGUGAUGGCUAAUAUCAAUCAUCAUUGACGUUACUGACAGAAGAAGCACCGGCUAACUCCGUGCCAGCCGCCGCCGUAA
rnacentral:rRNA from 1 species